rnacentral:rRNA from 1 species
UACGAAGGGGGCUAGCGUUGCUCGGAAUCACUGGGCGUAAAGCGCACGUAGGCGGCUUUUUAAGUCUGGGGUGAAAUCCUGGAGCUCAACUCCAGAACUGCCUUUGAUACUGGGAAGCUUGAGACCGGAAGAGGUGAGUGGAACUCCGAGUGUAGAGGUGAAAUUCGUAGAUAUUCGGAAGAACACCAGUGGCGAAGGCGACUCACUGGUCCGGUACUGACGCUGAGGUGCGAAAGCGUGGGGAGCAAACAGG